CCCCGAAGGCGGUGUAUGGAUUGGGGAGUCCCAGCGUUGGGGAUUCCCCAUCUCCGCAGUUUCUCUUCUUCUCACAACCUGCGUCGAGUCCUUCUUCCUGGAUACUCACGACGCGGACCCCGUUCUCACUCCCAUUGGGUGUCGGUUUCUAGAGACGCCAAUCAGCGUCGCCGCGGUCCCGGUUCCAAAGUCCCCACUAACCCACCAGGACUCAGAGUCUCCGCAGACGCCAAGAAUGGCGGUCAUGGCGCCCCGAACCCUCCUCCUGGUGCUCUCAGGGGCCCUGACCCAGACCUGGGCCGGCUCUCACUCCAUGAGGUAUUUCUACACCUCCAUGUCCCGGCCCGGCCGCGGGGAGCCCCGCUUCAUCGCCGUGGGCUACGUGGACGACACGCAGUUCGUGCAGUUCGACAGCGACGCCGCGAGCCAGAGGAUGGAGCCGCGGGCGCCGUGGGUGGAGCAGGAGGGGCCGGAGUAUUGGGACCGGGAGACACGGAACAUGAAGACCGCGACACAGAAUGCCCCAGUGGCCCUGCGGAACCUGCUCCGCUACUACAACCAGAGCGAGGCCGGGAUUACAUCGCCCUGAACGAGGACCUGCGCUCCUGGUUCGCGGCGGAUGUGGCGGCUCAGAACACCCAGCGGAAGUGGGAGGCGGCGGGUGUGGCGGAGCAGGACAGAGUCUACCUGGAGGGCCGGUGCGUGGAGUGGCUCCGCAGAUACCUGGAGAACGGGAAGGAGACGCUGCAGCGCGCGGACCCCCCCAAGACACAUGUGACCCACCACCCCGUCUCUGACCAUGAGGCCACCCUGAGGUGCUGGGCCCUGGGCUUCUACCCUGCGGAGAUCACACUGACCUGGCAGCGGGAUGGGGAGGACCAAACUCAGGACACGGAGCUCGUGGAGACCAGGCCUGCAGGAGAUGGAACCUUCCAGAAGUGGGCGGCUGUGGUGGUGCCUUCUGGAAAGGAGCAGAGAUACACCUGUCAUGUGCAGCAUGAGGGUCUGCCCAAGCCCCUCACCCUGAGAUGGGAGCCGUCUUCCCAGUCCACCAUCCCCAUCAUGGGCAUCAUUGCUGGCCUGGUUCUCCUUGGAGCUGUGGUCACUGGAGCUGUGGUCGCUGCUGCGAUGUGGAGGAGGAAGAGCUCAGAUAGAAAAGGAGGGAGCUACUCUCAGGCUGCAAGUAAGUAUGAAGGAGGCUGAUCCCUGAGAUCCUUGGAAUGUUGUGGUUGGGGGCCCAUGGGGGAGCUCACCCAGCCCACAGUUCCUCCUCUAGCCACAUCUCCAGAGGGAUCUGACCAGGUCCUGUUUUUGUUCUACUCCAGGCAGUGACAGUGCCCAGGGCUCUGAUGUGUCUCUCACGGCUUGUAAAGUGUGGGACAGCUAACUUGUGUGGGACUGCGAGGCAAGGUUUGUUCACGCCUUCUCUUCGUGACUUGAAGAACCCUGACGUUCUUUCUGCAAAGGCACCUGAAUGUGUGUUCCUGUAGGCAUAAUGUGAGGAGGUGGGGAGAACACCCCAUCCCCGUGUCCACCAUGACCCUCUUCCCCACGCUGACCUGUGUUCCCUCCUCAUUUAUCUUUCCUGUUCCAGGGAGGUUGGGCUGGGAUGUCUCUAUCUCUGUCUCAACUUCAUUUUGCUCCCAUUUUGCACGGAGCUGUAACUUCUUCCUUCCCUAUUACAAUUAGAACCUGAGUAUAAAUUUACUUUUUCAAAUUAUUAUCAUGAGAGGUUCAUGAGUUAAUUAAAGUAGAAUAUUCCUAAAAUUUGAGAGACGAAAUAAAUAGAAGACAUGAGAACCUUC